rnacentral:rRNA from 1 species
GACGAACGCUGGCGGCGUGCUUAACACAUGCAAGUCGAGCGGAAAGGCCACUUCGGUGGUACUCGAGCGGCGAACGGGUGAGUAACACGUGAGUAAUCUGCCCCUGGCUUUGGGAUAGCCACCGGAAACGGUGAUUAAUACCGGAUAUGACCACGUCUCGCAUGGGGUGUGGUGGAAAGUUUUUCGGCCAGGGAUGUGCUCGCGGCCUAUCAGCUUGAUGGUGGGGUAAUGGCUCACCAUGGCGUCGACGGGUAGCCGGCCUGAGAGGGUGAGCGGUCACACUGGGACUGGGACACGGCCCAGACUCCUACGGGAGGCAGCAGUGGGGAAUAUUGGACAAUGGGCGGAAGCCUGAUCCAGCAACGCCGCGUGAGGGAUGACGGCCUUCGGGUUGUAAACCUCUUUCAGUACCGACGAAGCGCAAGUGACGGUAGGUACAGAAGAAGCACCGGCCAACUACGUGCCAGCCGCCGCGGUAACAC